UCAGACACUACCUUCAGACACAACCUGCAGACACAACCUCAGACCCAACCUUCGGACGCAACCUUCGGACACAACCUUCAGACCCAACCUCAGACCCAACCUUCAGACACUACCUUCAGACACAACCUGCAGACACAACCUCAGACCCAACCUUCAAACACAACCUUCAGACACAACCUCAGACACAACCUCAGACACAACCUUCAGACAAUACUUUUUCUACAACUUUUACAGAAUUUUCUCACAAGUUUUACGCACCUUUUACCUUAUGCCGCAUAAUUUAACAUGAAACAGAAGGAAGUCUGAUAGAAUACUGAACGCAAAUCAGACGUACUGCAGGCGGAAUGUCAUCGAAGCUCAGUCGUGUCUCUUAUUCAAUAAAGACGCAAGCUUGAUGUAACCGUUUUCUUUUUAGACGAUUAUUCAAAGGCGUCGUAUAAAUGAUCAAUCACAAACAUUCAAAUUCUGAUGUCUACUUAUAGUUUCUCCUCUGUUUAAUAUUAUAUAAUAAAAUCACACAAAUAUCAUGCAAUAAAAUUAAACAAAUAGUAUAUAUUAAAAUGAGACAAAUAUUAUACAAUAAAAUCAGGCAAAUAGUAUACAAUAAAAUGAAACAAAUAUUAGACACUAAAA